rnacentral:rRNA from 1 species
AUUGAACGCUGGCGGCAUGCUUUACACAUGCAAGUCGAACGGUAACAGGCCUUCGGGUGCUGACGAGUGGCGAACGGGUGAGUAAUGCAUCGGAACGUGCCCAGAGGUGGGGGAUAACGCAGCGAAAGCUGUGCUAAUACCGCAUGUGAUCUGAGGAUGAAAGCGGGGGACCAGGCAGCAAUGUUUGGCCUCGCGCCUUUGGAGCGGCCGAUGUCAGAUUAGGUAGUUGGUGGGGUAAAGGCCUACCAAGCCGACGAUCUGUAGCUGGUCUGAGAGGACGACCAGCCACACUGGGACUGAGACACGGCCCAGACUCCUACGGGAGGCAGCAGUGGGGAAUUUUGGACAAAGGGCGCAAGCCUGAUCCAGCAAUGCCGCGUGCGGGAAGAAGGCCUUCGGGUUGUAAACCGCUUUUGUACGGAACGAAAAGGCUCUGGCUAAUACCUGGCGCUGAUGACGGUACCGUAAGAAUAAGCACCGGCUAACUACGUG